UUGGCGUCUGCAUGAGGCUCAUCAGUUUACAUACAGAUCUCAUUCUUUCACUAUUUUUAGAAGUAGAAACAUUUUCCAGCCAUUAGUCACCUUUUCCAUUCUCCUUGAUUCUCAGGAGCAGUUCUCUGAUCUCAUCUGCAAACUCUUUUGAUACUUUGGGAUAGAAUUUGUAUUAACAGAAGUUUUGAAGUCAUUCAGAAUGCCACAUGACCAACGUGGGGUCACCAAUUGGAACAGGGAAGAGAUGUGCACAAUGGCCCUCUCUCCAGCUUGUGUGAGCCGGCUCCAACACACAUCCUGUGGAGCGAGAGUUUGGUUGCUGGGAGGACCAGCUCACUGACAGAUUAAAGUUACCAAGUUGAAGUGAUGAGCUUGAAUCCUUCUGCAGUCACACGUUUGGCCUAGCAGAGGUUGAAAUUUUUAAAAAAUGAAAUAGAACCACAAAGAAAAUAUCAGAACACAUUGCACUUAGUAAAGAGAAGAAAAGCAACUCGGAGAUAAGAAACUCCACACCCUUUUGAGGAGAGAACUUGACAUCUGAAUUUUCAUGUUUGUGUUCUUUGAACAAACAUCAUUAAAGCAUACCAAAUCUACACCCAGUAAAAGUUUUGGAUGAAGACAGACAAAAAUGUGAAUGGACUACAAUGGAAGAUGCACAGACAUAUAUUAACCAGCACAUCAGGAAAUAGAGUUCAACCAAGUUGGAAGGUCGGCCUUGGAAGACACUGAGUUCCUGACCCUGGAGGACAGGCUGUGUUCAUUCAGGACCUGGAGGUUUUCAAACUCUCUCAAUGCCCUGCUGCUGCAUUUGAACUGUAUACAAGUCCACUUCCUGUGUCUUUGAAGAGGAAAUUUCUCAUCUGCUAUCAAGGGUGUUGCUAAUAAUUUAAAGAUCGGGUUUUUUUUCUGCAUUUUAGUCUGGCACAUCUGGGACUCAAGUUUCAAGUGCUGAGUCUUGUAAGGACUGUUCUGCAGCCAAAAACCAGGAAAGGGGAAACAGAAGCAAAAAACCAAUCACAAGUGAAAAAACUCAGCCAGCCUAAUUAAAUAUUUGGAAUCAAAAAUUGUUGGCCACCUGGAAGGGGAAACACCCUUUUCAUCCUGUCAUUCAUUUCUUAGCUAAAUAAUGGGUUCAAUAUACAUAAUUCCAAAACCAAAAUUAGAAUUUUUGGAAGACGCCCCCAAUAUUUAGGCAUUUUAUCUCCUGACCAGUUUGUCUUGGAAGGUAUUCCAGGCCAGGAAAUUCUAAUGUAUUUCUCUAUGUUAAAAGACAUAUAGGAGAUUUUUAUUUAUUGGUCAAGGUGGAUACGUGGGAACACCUGCUUUAAAAUGCUCAAGACUGGGAUUAUGACUCUGAUCAAGUAAAACUCUAGAGCCUCAAGAUCUGUUGAAAUGGAGAAGAUAAAAACUGCUGGGUCCCUGCUUGCCCUUCCCCACCCAAAAUUUCUUGGCCCUGACCCUGAUCCUCCUCCCUCAGACCACCUGUAGAUGAAGGUGGAGUAGCCUUCCACUGAGACAUCAUGAGGCUCUCUGGCUGUCAUAAGGAGGGCAUCAACCGACUGUGGAAAUAUAGUUUUGUAUUUCAUCAGCAUCAUAGAAUAUCAUCUCAAACUCACUGAGGGCCAACAGUGUUUAUAGACUCAGUUAUGAAGAAUUCUGUUUUAAGGAGAAUUACCUGAAAGAGAUGUAAUCCUGAUACUUUAAAAUUUAUCUUUGGGUUUGUAGACCCUCAGCGAGCAGCCUACAUGGGCCACUCAGUUCUGGCUCCCCACUGACUUACUGAGCCCAGCUUUGGCAUUCUGCUAUUUGCACACUUGGGUGGGGGGUGGGGGGAGUAGAAAGCUGUGCCAAGAAAUGUGAUGUUGUACUUACUCUAAUUGUUAUAAAGUUUUGGUGCCGCAAAAGAAAUAGCACGCGAAUAUAAAAUUUUAUUUUUAAUUCUCAGCAAGGCAAGUUACUUCUACAGAAGAGUGUGCCCUUACAGAUGGAGCAAUGAUGAGCGCACACUUGGACAAGGGAAAGGAAGGGGUUCUUGUCCCUGAUGGGCACGUGGCCCCUCUGCUGUGUCGUUCCUCUAUUGGCUAGGGUUAGACAGCACAGGCUAAACUAAUUCCGAUUGGCUAACUUAAAGAGAGUGGCGGGGGUGAGUGGUUUGGCGGGAAAAAUGGUUAUGACAGAGCAGGUAAUCAGAAUGAGUCAGGGUGGAGAAUGUAAUCGGAAAAGGUUGCUUUAUGAGGAAGUUUAAAAGUAGAAGACAAAUAAUUGAACAUACUGACAUAUUCUUUGAAAUUUAGAACUCAUAUCUAACAUAAGCAGGCUUGGGGAAACCAUUCACUACUGUUUUAGGGUUCCUCCGGCAUGAACUGGAAUCCCAGUAUGUACUUUUAUUUGCAGCAGACACUAGUUCCUGCAAAUCCCAGGCCUUCAAGGGGACUGUAGAAGGUUUUGGCUAAUACUCAUACUUUGACCUUCCCUAAGGUAAUGUGCAAGGUGGAAAAGGCUGGGAGCCUGUGCAGGUCACCUUGGGCUGUGCUGCUAGGUGGCCAUUUUGCGCUGGGAAGGGACCCUGCUACUUGUUAUUUUAGGCAGCAGAUGGCUGUGACUCUGCAAAUUUCCUCCAGGGGCUUCAAUGGGGCCAAUGCACUGUUUACAGUUUUAGAGCUUUAACUGACCCUUAUCACUUAAGGACAGAUGCUGUGCCCUGGAGCUAUGGGAUCUGGUCACUUUUACAUAAUUUGAAUGUGCUCUGUAAUCAUCCAAGUACCGUUUUAAGCAUUUAAAUUCUUGCCAGCAAUUAGGCUGCUGCUGAACAUGGGAGAUGAUUGCAUCACUUCACUAGUUUCAAACAGCACACUCAACCUUAGUAUUUAUUGCAUCAGCUCAGGGCAACCUGCUCUUCCAAUCAAUUAAACUCCUUGUGCUUGAAUAUGCAAUGCCUGCCAAUCACACAUUAAAUCACCACCUCAUGCUUAUUUCACAAUGAGCUUACUGAAUGAAAUGACUUCCCAAAACUUAAUCAGUCCCCACCUCCGGCAAGCUGGCAUUUAAAGAGAUUUUCCAGUGUCUCUGGGAACAACCCUAUUACAUUUCUCCCUGAGGGUAAAAUCUUCUCAGGUCUCCAUUCCAGGAAUAGCAAUGCUGCUGCUGGUAGUUGCUGGCUUGUAUUUGUCCCGGGACAGACACUAUGAAUGAUGAAACUAAUUGUGUUUACUGGUCCUCCCCCUGCCCCCCACCAUCCAUUUAUUUUUGUAACACCAAUAAUGCAUGUUUAUUAUGGAAAAAAACCAUACAGCAAAGCAAUGAAGAAUAAUUACCUAAAUUCUCAACACCUCAAAAUUACAAUGGCUAAAAUGUUGGUUACCCUUCCAGGCAUUUGUGUUUCCUCUUUACAGUGGCUGCUAGAAAUAGCCAGAUACAAAUCCCAGUAUAAAUGAGACUUUAAUAUAAAACAAUGGGGAAAAGAUGUAUGAUAGAUGGCACUGGCCCAACUGGCUCUCCAUUUGGAAGAAAAUAAAUAUGGACUCCUUAUGCCGCAUGGAAAAAUCCAUUUCAGAUUAAAAUUUUAAAUGUAAAAAAUAUAACAAGGUAUUGUUUAAAAAUCUGGCAGGCUAUGUGUAUAUUCUAGGGGUGGGAGAGACCUUUUAAACUGUGACUAGAAGCUAUAAAAGAAGGAAAGGAAAGACUUUUAAAAUUAUAAAGUCAACAGGUUAAUACAAAAUAAGAAAAGUACAUUUGUAAUGCAAGUGACAGUUUAUGCCUAUGAUAAAAGCUCUUAAAUUUGAUGAGAAAAGGGCAAAAUGAUGAGAUAAAGAUGCACAAAGGAUAAACACUUCACAGACAUUGAAACGGCUAGCCCACAUGCUCAUAUUCACUAGUGGUCAGAAAAAAGCAAAUGGAAGUUAACAAUAGAACACCAUUUUACACUUAGACUGGAGAAAAGAGCUAUAAUAUCAUAUGCUAGUGUUGGAGAUAGGAAUUGUGACAUGCGUCCGUGUGAAGAGAGUCCAUCAAACAGGCUUUGUGUGAG
rnacentral:lncRNA from 10 species